GCGGAUGAGAGAGCUUGCUCUCUGAUUUAGCGGCGGACGGGUGAGUAAUGCCUAGGAAUCUGCCUGGUAGUGGGGGAUAACGUUCCGAAAGGAACGCUAAUACCGCAUACGUCCUACGGGAGAAAGCAGGGGACCUUCGGGCCUUGCGCUAUCAGAUGAGCCUAGGUCGGAUUAGCUAGUUGGUGAGGUAAUGGCUCACCAAGGCGACGAUCCGUAACUGGUCUGAGAGGAUGAUCAGUCACACUGGAACUGAGACACGGUCCAGACUCCUACGGGAGGCAGCAGUGGGGAAUAUUGGACAAUGGGCGAAAGCCUGAUCCAGCCAUGCCGCGUGUGUGAAGAAGGUCUUCGGAUUGUAAAGCACUUUAAGUUGGGAGGAAGGGCAUUAACCUAAUACGUUAGUGUUUUGACGUUACCAACAGAAUAAGCACCGGCUAACUUCGUGCCAGCAGCCGCGGUAAUACGAAGGGUGCAAGCGUUAAUCGGAAUUACUGGGCGUAAAGCGCGCGUAGGUGGUUCGUUAAGUUGGAUGUGAAAGCCCCGGGCUCAACCUGGGAACUGCAUCCAAAACUGGCGAGCUAGAGUACGGUAGAGGGUAGUGGAAUUUCCUGUGUAGCGGUGAAAUGCGUAGAUAUAGGAAGGAACACCAGUGGCGAAGGCGACUACCUGGACUGAUACUGACACUGAGGUGCGAAAGCGUGGGGAGCAAACAGGAUUAGAUACCCUGGUAGUCCACGCCGUAAACGAUGUCAACUAGCCGUUGGAAUCCUUGAGAUUUUAGUGGCGCAGCUAACGCAUUAAGUUGACCGCCUGGGGAGUACGGCCGCAAGGUUAAAACUCAAAUGAAUUGACGGGGGCCCGCACAAGCGGUGAGCAUGUGGUUUAAUUCGAAGCAACGCGAAGAA
rnacentral:rRNA from 1 species